ACACCUCAACUCUCAUGGCUUGCCAUGAUGAGCUUGGACUAUGGGGGUCUUGCUGGCCUGUGGUCGGCUCCUCUCAAACGAAUCAGCUUGCCAGUGUUUGGUGGCGUCACAGGUGUGAUAAAUAUCUACGCUUGUGGCUUCCCGCCAGGUAACCUUCAGCAAUGGAGAUUCACUGGGGCUCAUAAAAGUCUCUCCUCGGUGAGGACAGCUCCUUGAAC
rnacentral:misc_RNA from 1 species